AUUGGAGGCACUGCCUGCCCAGUGACAAGCGUUAAACGGCCGCGGUAUCCUGACCGUGCAAAGGUAGCAUAAUCAUUUGUUCUUUAAAUAGGGACUUGUAUGAAUGGCCACACGAGGGUUUUACUGUCUCUUACUUCCAAUCAGUGAAAUUGACCUUCCCGUGAAGAGGCGGGAAUAAACAAAUAAGACGAGAAGACCCUAUGGAGCUUUAACUAACUAGUUCAAAGAAAAGAAACUUAACCACCAAGGGAUAAUACUAUUCUUCAUGAGCUAACAGUUUUGGUUGGGGUGACCUCGGAGAACAAAAAAUCCUCCGAGCGAUUUUAAAAAUAAGACACACAAGUCAAAUUGAACUAUCGCUUAUUGAUCCAAAAUUUGAUCAACGGAACAAGUUACCCUAGGGAUAACAGCGCAAUCCUAUUCAAGAGUUCAUAUCGACAAUAGGGUUUACGACCUCGAUGUUGGAUCAGGACACCCCGAUGGUGCAACCGCUAUCAAAGGUUCGUUUGUUCAACGAUUAAAGUCCUACGUGAUCUGAGUUCAAACCGGGAGAA
rnacentral:rRNA from 1 species